AUACAUGCAAGUCGAACGCGUCUCCGUUAAUGAUUUUAGGUGCUUGCACUUGAAAGAUUUAACAUUGAGACGAGUGGCGAACUGGUGAGUAACACGUGGGUAACCUGCCCUUGAAGUAGGGGAUAACACUUGGAAACAGGUGCUAAUACCGUAUAACAACCAAAACCACCUGGUUUUGGUUUAAAAGACGGCUUCGGCUGUCACUUUAGGAUGGACCCGCGGCGUAUUAGCUUGUUGGUAAGGUAACGGCUUACCAAGGCGAUGAUACGUAGCCGACCUGAGAGGGUAAUCGGCCACAUUGGGACUGAGACACGGCCCAAACUCCUACGGGAGGCAGCAGUAGGGAAUCUUCCACAAUGGACGAAAGUCUGAUGGAGCAACGCCGCGUGAGUGAUGAAGGGUUUCGGCUCGUAAAACUCUGUUGUUGGAGAAGAACAGGUGUCAGAGUAACUGUUGACAUCUUGACGGUAUCCAACCAGAAAGCCACGGCUAACUACGUGCCAGCAGCCGCGGUAAUACGUAGGUGGCAAGCGUUGUCCGGAUUUAUUGGGCGUAAAGCGAGCGCAGGCGGUUUUUUAGGUCUGAUGUGAAAGCCUUCGGCUUAACCGGAGAAGUGCAUCGGAAACCGGGAGACUUGAGUGCAGAAGAGGACAGUGGAACUCCAUGUGUAGCGGUGAAAUGCGUAGAUAUAUGGAAGAACACCAGUGGCGAAGGCGGCUGUCUGGUCUGUAACUGACGCUGAGGCUCGAAAGCAUGGGU
rnacentral:rRNA from 1 species